CGAUACUCAUCGGGGCGCUAUUCAUCCUAUCAAUAGGGAUCAGCUGAGAUCGAGCGCAAGCUCGGGACCCGUGUACCUGAACCAGAUAAUGCUGGCGUAGGAAUUGAGUUUGGACACGAA
rnacentral:ncRNA from 2 species